rnacentral:rRNA from 1 species
AGUAACGCGUGAGUAACCUGCCUUACACAAGGGGGUAGCCUCUGGAAACGGAGAAUAAUACCCUAUGAAACUAUCUUAUCGCAUGAAAAGAUAGUCAAAGUGUUUUAGCGGUGUAAGAUGGACUUGCGUCUGAUUAGCUAGUUGGUGAGAUAACAGCCCACCAAGGCAACGAUCAGUAGCCGGCUUGAGAGAGUGUACGGCCACAUUGGGACUGAGACACGGCCCAG